GGCAGAUUGGUGUAGUGGUAACAUGUUAGUCUCUGAGUUAAAGAUUUAGGGUUUGAGUCCCUGGCCUGUCA
rfam:Laetiporus sulphureus 93-53 unplaced genomic scaffold LAESTscaffold_72, whole genome shotgun sequence.